rnacentral:rRNA from 1 species
UGCAGUCGACGGUAGCAGGAAGUGCUUGCACUUUGCUGACGAGUGGCGGACGGGUGAGUAAUGCUUGGGAACUUGCCUUUGCGAGGGGGAUAACAGUUGGAAACGACUGCUAAUACCGCAUAAUGUCUACGGACCAAACGGGGCUUAGGCUUCGGCGCAGAGAGAGGCCCAAGUGAGAUUAGCUAGUUGGUGGGGUAAAGGCUCACCAAGGCGACGAUCUCUAGCUGUUCUGAGAGGAAGAUCAGCCACACUGGGACUGAGACACGGCCCAGACUCCUACGGGAGGCAGCAGUGGGGAAUAUUGCACAAUGGGGGGAACCCUGAUGCAGCCAUGCCGCGUGUGUGAAGAAGGCCUUCGGGUUGUAAAGCACUUUCAGUUGUGAGGAAAAGUGAGUAGUUAAUACCUGCUCACCGUGACGUUAACAACAGAAGAAGCACCGGCUAACUCCGUGCCAGCAGCCGCGGUAAUACGGAGGGUGCGAGCGUUAAUCGGAAUUACUGGGCGUAAAGCGCACGCAGGCGGUUUGUUAAGCUAGAUGUGAAAGCCCCGAGCUCAACUUGGGAUGGUCAUUUAGAACUGGCAGACUAGAGUCUUGGAGAGGGGAGUGGAAUUCCAGGUGUAGCGGUGAAAUGCGUAGAUAUCUGGAGGAACAUCAGUGGCGAAGGCGACUCCCUGGCCAAAGACUGACGCUCAUGUGCGAAAGUGUGGGUAGCGAACAGGAUUAGAUACCCUGGUAGUCCACACCGUAAACGCUGUCUACUAGCUGUUUGUGGCUUUAAGCCGUGAGUAGCGAAGCUAACGCGAUAAGUAGACCGCCUGGGGAGUACGGCCGCAAGGUUAAAACUCAAAUGAAUUGACGGGGGCCCGCACAAGCGGUGG